rnacentral:rRNA from 1 species
ACGUAGGGAGCAAGCGUUGUCCGGAUUUAUUGGGCGUAAAGGGCUCGUAGGCGGUUUGGUAAGUCAGGUGUGAAAUCUCAGGGCUCAACUCUGAGAAGCCAUCUGAAACUGCCAUGACUAGAGUUCGGUAGAGGAGCGUGGAAUUUCCGGUGUAGCGGUGAAAUGCUCAGAUAUCGGGAGGAACACCAGCAGCGAAGGCGGCGCUCUGGGCCGAAACUGACGCUGAGGAGCGAAAGCGUGGGGAGCAAACAGG